CCUACGUGGAUAACUGUGGUAAUUCUAGAGCUAAUACAUGCACCAAAGCUCCGAAUUUUUGACGAGCGCAUCUAUUAGAUUAAAACCAAUCGGGUUUCGGCCCGUUUGUUGGUGACUCUGAAUAACUAUGGCUGAUCGCAUGGUCUAGAACCGGCGACGUGUCUAUCAAGUGUCUGCCUUAUCAACUGUCGAUGGUAGUUUAUGUGCCUACCAUGGUUGUAACGGGUAACGGAGAAUAAGGGUUCGACUCCGGAGAGGGAGCCUGAGAAACGGCUACCACAUCCAAGGAAGGCAGCAGGCGCGCAAAUUACCCACUCUCGGCAUGAGGAGGUAGUGACGAAAAAUAACGAGACCGUUCUCUAUGAGGCCGGUUAUCGGAAUGGGUACAAUUUAAACCCGUUAACGAGGAUCUAUGAGAGGGCAAGUCUGGUGCCAGCAGCCGCGGUAAUUCCAGCUCUCAAAGUGUAUAUCGUCAUUGCUGCGGUUAAAAAGCUCGUAGUUGGAUCUGCGCCUCAGGACCUGGUCCGCCCACUGGGUGAGAACUGGGCUCCUGGGCUAGUUCUGCUGGUUUUCCCUGCGUUGCCUUCAUCGGUAGCGUAGGGUGGCUAGCGAGUUUACUUUGAAAAAAUUAGAGUGCUUCACGCGGGCUUAUGUCUGAAUACUCGUGCAUGGAAUAAUAGAAUAGGAUCUCGGCUCUAUUUUGUUGGUUUUCUGAUCUGAGAUAAUGGUUAAGAGGGACGGACGGGGGCAUUCGUAUCGCUGCGUGAGAGGUGAAAUUCUUGGACCGUAGCGAGACGUCCGACUGCGAAAGCAUUUGCCAAGAAUGUCUUCAUUAAUCAAGAACGAAAGUCAGAGGUUCGA
rnacentral:rRNA from 1 species